rnacentral:misc_RNA from 1 species
UUUCCGUAGGUCGCUAGAGUUCAGCCUACCAAAGCAAACCUUUCAAAACUGCUAGUCUCUCCCCGAGGCGACACGCUCAAUGUCGCGGAGAGGCCCUCUUUUCAGAGGGUAAUCCGCAGCCGGCCCCCUAAAGGCUGGUUCAGAGACUCAAUGAGUGUGGGUUUGGCCUUUUGGCCAGGCUUAAGAUAGAGCCCGUCCCUGUAGGCAACUGCGGGGGAUGAACGGAACCUGCGGAAGGAUCAUUAAAGAAUCGGUGACCCUCGCGGUCCCAUUCUCACCCUUUGUAUACCAAACUUCAGUUGCUUUGGCUGGCCUUCGCGGGCCGGCCAGAGGACUCAAACCCUUGAAUCUUUGCUGUCUGAGUACUAUAUAACAGUUAAAACUUUCAACAACGGAUCUCUUGGUUCUG